GUCACUCUAAAAUUAUUGACGGAGCUGCUGCCGAGCCUAUUUACAGUUGCGGCUGCUUCAUUUUGUUAAUUUAGAGUUAGAAUCUGAGUUUACUGGUGGCUCU